UAUUAUGGAUGAACAAAGAAAGUGGUUUCUUGAGAUGGAACCUACUUGUUGUGAAGAGGCUAUGAA
rnacentral:pre_miRNA from 1 species